UAAUGAAGUAAAAGACUUUAUGGUAAUUGCUUAGGGAAACCUUAUUCACCUGGAGAAUGGAUGGCUUGGAUCUCUGAAGAUAAACCAGUUACUCUAACUCCUGCAACUCAAAUGUCAUCCAUGCACAGUGACUGCAUGCUUACAGAAUCCCUUACACAGCUAUGUGGUGUGAUGAGCUCUGAAAUGAUCAGUUUCCAUGAAAAAGGCCUAAUUCCAGAUUACAGCAUAGAAACUCCAUGCUAUGGACAAACGUGCCUUCUCCUGAUCCAGCAGUGCUCAUUUUGAUCAGAGGAUUUGCUUCUGCACCGCUUCUCAUUGCAAGAUGAAUUCCAAAUGAAUGAACUUACCAAACUGAACAUGCAUCAGGAGAGACUGCCCUGUACUGUCAAGAAGUGCCACUAAUGUGUCAACAACAAUAAUAGUGCCAUCCCUUGAGUUGAAUGCACACAACUGCGGAUUAACAGAGACCUAAGAAAAAAAAGGUCACUAAAUAUAGUAACUGAAACACCUUUGAAAAUGUGACAAAGAAGCCCUGGCAAUUAUUAAGAAAAACACAGCUCUUUGAAUUCUACCUUUUCUGAA